UUUGCUCAGGAGCCCAAGUGAAGGGUAAAGUUAGAUAUAGAGACCUGGGUCUGAGACAGUUAACAUACAAGACAAAAAAUACUGAGCUUAUGGAAACACUGUUCUCUUUUAAAGUAAAAAUGUUUUUUUUGUUUGCCAACACACACAUUU